rnacentral:rRNA from 1 species
GCUACUACCGAUUGGAUGGUUUAGUGAGGUCCUCGGAUCGGCCCCGGCGGGGUCGGCCACGGCCCUGCCGGAGCGUCGAGAAGACGGUCGAACUUGACUAUCUAGAGGAAGUAAAAGUCGUAACAAGGUUUCC